GACGAACGCUGGCGGCGUGCCUAAUACAUGCAAGUCGAGCGGACGGAUGGGAGCUUGCUCCCAGACCGUCAGCGGCGGACGGGUGAGUAACACGUGGGCAACCUGCCUGUAAGACUGGGAUAACUCCGGGAAACCGGGGCUAAUACCGGAUAACUCUUUCCCUCACAUGAGGGAAAGCUGAAAGAUGGCAUCUCGCUAUCACUUACAGAUGGGCCCGCGGCGCAUUAGCUAGUUGGUGAGGUAACGGCUCACCAAGGCGACGAUGCGUAGCCGACCUGAGAGGGUGAUCGGCCACACUGGGACUGAGACACGGCCCAGACUCCUACGGGAGGCAGCAGUAGGGAAUCUUCCGCAAUGGACGAAAGUCUGACGGAGCAACGCCGCGUGAGUGAUGAAGGUUUUCGGAUCAUAAAACUCUGUUGUCAGGGAAGAACAAGUACCGGAGUAACUGCCGGUACCUUGACGGUACCUGACCAGAAAGCCACGGCUAACUACGUG
rnacentral:rRNA from 1 species